AGGAAUGUAGCUCAGUUUUAGAGCAUCUGCCUCAUAUGUUGGAGGCCCUGAGUUCAAUCCCCAGCACUGCAA
rnacentral:tRNA from 1 species